UGCUGGUGACACUUGCGGACUUGAGAGCCGCAGCACGUCGGCAACGUCUCAUUAACGCGAUUUAGAUACGCCUCAUUAACCAUGCUUUGACGUUUAGCUGGUCAAAUCCGACCACAGCGACAGGUCCGUCGCGGCGUGAUGUGGAAAGUGAAAGCGUAUGAAUACCGCGCGGAUUGUCGUCCUGGCCAUUGCUNNNNNNNNNCAUAUCUUGCAAGCGGCUCCGAUCCGAAGCCGGUCGCGGCGCCAACGACAAUGGACACCACUGACGUUCUGGUUGCCCGCACCGACAUUCCGCUCGGUCAGACCGUCACGCCUGACGAUAUUCAGUGGCAAAACUGGCCUUCAUCGACGGCAAGCUCCAGCUUCAUCCGCCGCAACGAUCAGCCUGAAGCAAUGACCCAGAUCGUGGGAUCGAUUGCGCGCUCGCCGUUCCUUGCGGGCGAACCGAUCCGCGAAACCAAGCUCGUCAAGGGUAACGGCUCCGGCUUUAUGGCGGCCAUCCUGCCGACCGGCAUGCGCGCGAUU
rnacentral:misc_RNA from 1 species